GCGCCCGUAGCUCAGCUGGAUAGAGUGUCGGCCUCCGAAGCCGAAGGUCGCAGGUUCGAAUCCUGCCGGGCGCACCA
rnacentral:tRNA from 10 species